rnacentral:ncRNA from 1 species
CAAAGGCUUGGUCCUGACUUUACUAUCAACUCUAGCUAAACUUACACAUGCAAGUAUCCGCACCCCCGUGAGAAUGCCCUACAGUUCCCCGCCCGGGAACAAGGAGCUGGUAUCAGGCACAUUCCUACUUAGCCCAUGACACCUUGCUUAGCCACACCCUCAAGGGAACUCAGCAGUGAUAAACAUUAAGCCAUAAGUGAAAACUUGACUUAGUCAAAGCUAAAAGGGCCGGUAAAACUCGUGCCAGCCACCGCGGUUAUACGAGAGGCCCAAGCUGAUAGAUAUCGGCGUAAAGCGUGGUUAAGAUCUUAAUAUAAACUAAAGCCGAACACCUUCAAAGCUGUUAUACGCACCCGAAGGUAAGAAGUUCAACCACGAAAGUGGCUUUAUAACCCCUGAACCCACGAAAGCUACGACACAAACUGGGAUUAGAUACCCCACUAUGCUUAGCCGUAAACAUUGGUAGCACACUACCCCUACUACCCGCCUGGGAACUACGAGCAUCAGCUUGAAACCCAAAGGACUUGGCGGUGCUUUAGAUCCACCUAGAGGAGCCUGUUCUAGAACCGAUAACCCCCGUUCAACCUCACCUUUCCUUGUUUUUCCCGCCUAUAUACCGCCGUCGUCAGCUUACCCUGUGAAGGAUUUAUAGUAAGCAAAAUUGGUACAACCUAAAACGUCAGGUCGAGGUGUAGCGUAUGGGAAGGGAAGAAAUGGGCUACAUUUCCUAAAACAGGAAAUUACGGACGAUGUACUGAAACGUACAUCUGAAGGAGGAUUUAGCAGUAAGCAGGAAAUAGAGCGUCCAGCUGAAAUUGGCCCUGAAGCGCGCACACACCGCCCGUCACUCUCCCCAAGCCUAUCAACUAAUAUAACUAAAACCUUAUAAUCGCGAAGGGGAGGCAAGUCGUAACAUGGUAAGUGUACCGGAAGGUGCACUUGGAAAAAU